CAGGUUAUAUUUAAGAGAGCGCUGAGAUCGAAUUCUUUUAGGAGUGGAACAUAUAUAUACUAUAUAUAUAUACACACAACACACACACACGCACACAUUUUCUCCUCAAUUAGAUUAAGAAUAAACAAAACGUUUUGAAAAUUAAUAUUGUUUGCAGGUAAUAUUAGAAAAUAAUAACAAAAAAUUGGCAGCGGUGGGAUUCGAACCCACGCCUCCGAAGAGACUGGUGCCUUAAACCAGCGCCUUAGACCGCUCGGCCACGCUACCAUUUAUAUUGACUAUUAAUGAUAGUUUUAUUAUUUCUAACCUCAACUUUUUUUAUCGCAUGAAUUGAAAUGAAAUCAUGAAUCUAUUAUAAACGUGCCUCGUCUCACAUUGAUAGAUACAAUCAUCGAACAGUUUCAAUAAUUCAUUCCAACGAGAUACAACUUUCAACGAGGAACGUUUAACCAACGUUAGAAAAUGAUAGGGUAUCGAUUAAUCGCACUCAACUCAAAAUACAAAGUCGUCAAGCUAGGUGGUUGGUUGGUGUUAGUGGAUGCAAGUCGCAGGAAAGCACGAAGUGAGGAUGCAUCCCCGCGGUGAAUUAAUCAUUUCAACAGCUGCUGUCGCAUUAGCGACAGCGGAUAAGACAAAUGAACGUCGUGGAGCUUGUUAAGACGUAAUCCGAGAGAUGCGUCUCCCGCUUCCACCUUCACCUCCCGACGCCGUCAUCCUCUUCCGUUUUCUGCCAUCGCAUCCCUCGUCUCAUCUGGGAUUAGUCUCCGGUCAAACGAAUUUUCUUCUUUUAUGUAAAGGACUUCGUUAUUUCGUAUGCUAGUUACAUACAAUUUUGUCAAGUUUCGAGAUACCAUCGUUGGAAUUUUUCUCCCACAUUUGAAACCUUCCAGAUCCAAAAGAUUGCAUCCGACUAUACUCAUGAGGAAAUUUCGAUGACAGAUAACGUCAAUGCGGGUAUACCGUUAAAGAUUCGCCCCGAACAGUUUUAAUCAGAGUAUAAAAGUUCAUCGUAAAGCUGGAUUAUGCGAGUCGAUAUAUAUAUAGAUCGACUUUUCAAAUACAAGUACGUCGACGUUCUUUGGAUCUACUUCGCUUUUGUCGGACCGAGUAUUGCGCCUCUCCAUUUUGUCAUCCCCUAGCGGAGUUUCAAUGUUGUAACCAUGGAGACGUCGCGUUUCCGCAAGGGGAACGUAUAAGGGGUGUCGAGCCUGGAUGAUUGAUGAGAAAAUUUGCUCUCGGGCCCGUCAACCUUUCAACGCUUCACGGCGUGUCCUCGGCGUUAAAUGGCCAAUGAGUUUCAUAGGAGCCAUUAAGAAAGGGGUCCUUGAUUCGUAAUGAGACUCUCAAGGAGAAUCUUAUGAUUAUCACCCAUUAGGAUAAUAGGGAACGAAGGGAACGUUUGUUAGUUCUGGGCCAUGUCACGAAUGCAAUUAGUGACUGAUUCGCCAAGCACUGGGAAGUCCUUCACAGUAAUAGCGAAGGGCUCUUCAACUGUUCAAGUACUCUUCCGGUAGCGACUGCAUUUUGAUUUGCGCCCCAACGUACUACCUUAAAGUGCAACUUCGCUUUACUGCAAACCAAUGGAGAGAUGGGCAUACCUUUAACGAGAAAAACUCGGCAUUCGAUGACGAAAGUUUCUACGGGGGAGACUGUUUACAGGCACGGGAAAAUCGUCGCUGAUGCUUUAGAACGCCUCGUUGUAACCAGAUUCCCAUUAAAGCAACACCUUUUGUAGCACGGAACGGCAUUGUGGUAACAUUAUUGUCCGCAACAAGGACGCAUUAUAAUUCAUUGUGUUGUUCUCGUAGCGUAAACCAUUCAAAGAUGCCUAAUGCGACACCUGGUAGGUGUAAUGUUGCCGCCAUAUUCUAUUAUAAGGAUAAUUUGAUACAUAUCGUGAGCGAAAUCCCAUACAAGUUUUGUCGAGACCCUGUGACCCUCCGAGUGAAAUCGUUGCUGUAUAAGAUUGCUGAUGAUUUUAAAAAGAUGAAGAAAACGUAGCUGCUAUCUACAGCAGAGUCGUGGCUACUAGGAUUUUGGUCACGUAGAAACCUGGUAACGAAGUUAAGCUGGAAGCUCCUUCCAGGGAUGGACCUUCGUAUAACGUGUCUCGAUUCCAAGAGCCCCAUGUACAGAGAGCCCAUAGAACCAAACUCAAUAUGGUGGAGUCAAUUGGACCGCCCGUACUUUAGGGGCAUCUCUCUUUCUCCACUCUUCUUCGAGCAUAUUCGCUUCGCCGACCUCCCCUCCCCCUACCUCCCUCUUUUCUUUCUUUCACCCUCUCGUUCACAUAAUGGAGACACAAUCGACUUUGAAACACAAUCGAUAGUUACCAAGUCCAUCGAGCAAAAAUGUUACUACGGCUUACGUUCUUUGAAUGACACAUGUAUGAUCGUUGCGAUGGUUGUGUGGAGCAACAGCCCUAUAUGCCAUUAGGAUAUACGUAUUAACGCGAAGAAUAAUAUGGAGAGGAUUCUGUAAGAAGAAAAUUCGAUCAUCGGCAUUGCAUUUUCAUCGUCAGUUUCUCGUACCGUAUGAGGAGAACGUAUUUCUCGGAAACGAACGGUGGAGUUUAAAACGUCGAUCGUCACAUCACAUUGCCAUGGCGACGGACGUCGACGUUGUACACCCUGGCGCUCAUUUGUUUGUCAUUUCCUCGCGGCGACUCGCGGAAACAAAGGACGAGAGGCACGAAGGCACGAAACAAAAAGCAAUCCGCUCGGCGGCGAACGAGCAAACGGUUGGGGGUGUGAUGGUGGCUUGAUGGGGAUGCCGUUGUUGUUACCCGUCUGCUGAGGAUAGAACAAGGGUCGGAGUAAGGGGAUGGAAAGCGAAAUGCCGUGAAUUACCUGUUCGGAAGAGAGCAUUUCGUCGUCAUUUUUAUUUCGUUUCCCGUUGAAAACUCAACGUUCAACGGAAAUCGCCGUACGACUGGCUCUCCGCUUCAAAUUCGUCAUACCGCUUCUUUUAUUUCAACUUUUUUUUUUCUUUUCUUAAUAUUACGGAUCUCGAUCAUAUGAGAAACCAUACCAGUUAUAUAUAUAUAUAACCAUACCAUUAUAUAUAUAUAAAUAGAAUUUGUUUUAUUUAUUUAUUUUUUUUUAUAAUUAAUUGUAAGAAAGUGUACAACUAUUUCAAGUAUUUAUCAUAUAUUUUUUCUUUCGUUCGUUCUUUCUUUCUUUCUUUCUUUCUUUCUUUCAUCCUUUCUUUCUUUCUUUCUUUCUUUCUUUCUUUCUUUCUUAUGAUUGAAUACACAUUCCAGGUAUUAAAUCACACGUGCAAAGUAACGAGAUACCUAUAUCGUGAUUCGCUUGAAGAUUCUUAACAAGAAUGAUACUAUAUCUGUCGCGAAGGUCGAGAUAUUGUCGACGGAAGGACAGCACGUCAGCGAAGAGAAAGACGUCGAGUGUGUUCGUCGACUCGUUAGCGACGAUGACUUUUCACUUUUCAAAGCCGAAGCCAAGGCUUAACCACAUAUUUCCCUCUCACGGUAGCUGAGUGUCGAUUACAUAUGCCCUGGAUAUAAAUAAAGCAGGCAUAGAAACUCGUCUACGCUACAAUUUCUUCUGUCAGACGAAAUUUAUUCCGCGUGCUCUUUGUAAAUUGACAGUCAUUGCUGUUUUUUAACAAAAGAUUACUAUGAAUUAGUAAGAAAGUCAAGGAACGUCCUUGAUUAUUUCAGUGUUAGUCGUCGUUGAAAUGUGGCAUCGAGUAAUUAACACUCGCAUUAUUCACGGUAGGAGGAGACGUUAGAACCCCUAUAAUACUCUUCCUCUCGUUCCGGAUAACCAAGCGAGAGACCCAUUGACUUCGUUCAUUGAUUUUACGUCAAUCUGCAAAGAGCACCCUUGCGGGCUCUCCGUGAUGCGUUUACCAUAAGCGAUAAGGGCUGUACGGAGUUAGGUGUGAGAGAGGACUAAAUCUAUAUAGACGUCAAUGGCAGGUUGCGUAAAAUCUGUAGAUUUGCUGAUUCCUAUCGAAAUCCUCGGGACACCUGUUGUGUCACCUGACGAGGAAAGAUAGUUUUGGUUUCGCGUUAUCGCGGUCAGUUGAGUGAGUUUUCGUGUAAACUCGACGUAUUGGCUCGAAAAGGUUUGGGUAACGCAACUCGGACGAGACAGAGGUUAAUUUGGUACGAGUUGUAAUCCCUCUCAUCCGUCGGAUGAAAUUCCAGGACCCUCCGGGAUGGACGAAUGACAGAAGGCUUUGGAUUAUUGCCUUGCUUUAUUGAGGAUUAUAUCGAGUGCGAAAAAAAAAAAUGAAUCGACGCUUUUUGCUUCCAUCAUUAGAUAAACGCUCCCCGUUGUACAAUGGAUAUGUUGAAUCAAUCAUGCAAGUAUAGUUUUAAUCAGCGUGGGGUCGACGCUAUCUCGUUGUUCUCCAUUUGCUUCGACCGGAAUGCGAAGACGUGCAUGGGAUUGUGAUGUUACCAUUAUUCGCCUCGAUAACGUUUACGAUACGCAUAUAGCCUAGCAUAUAUCGCAUAGGUUGGGAGGGGUCGGACCAGAGCGUGCCGGCAGCUCGUCGUUAAUAUAAUGGCGAAAAUGGCAAAACGGGUCGACAUCACGUAGAGCUCUUACCUUUUAUACACCUACAUAUACAUAUACGCACAUGAAUAUAUACAGAUAUAUAUGUGUGAAAUUUAUAAAGGAUCCAAUUUGUAUAUGUUAAAAAGGACGUGAGCCAACACUUUUGAAAUAUUUGAAAAUGAAGCUGAAAAUGAUGAACUCAUAACCGUCACUCUGUUCCGUCGCUCAAGCCUUUUGGAGUCUCCCUAAUUGACCCAUGCCAGUAGCCAAUAGGAUUUGAAAUUAUAGGUCUCGAGGAAAAAAGACGAUUAUCAGUCAAAUAGAGAGAAUACAAACAAACAUUAACGACUGGGACUUUGACGUUAAUCGGAUGGAAAAGGAAAGCAGUUAAAAAGAAUUUGUCUAGUCGGACUAAACUCGUCACGCAUUUGAUUAAAAUUGCAGGGAAAUGACGUAGAUGAAAAUGAAUAAUGUAUAGAAGAGCAUAUGUAAGCGUAGAUAAGAAUCUUAUCAAAAGAACCGAUCAAAGACGUUCUGUGAGGUCACGCUCGAGUGGUGCCGUCUAAUUUAUUGAGUGCAACGAAACGGUGAUAUGGCGAAGGUUACCGUUAAGAUUGGACAAUAAUAAUGAUG